rnacentral:rRNA from 1 species
GUCUCUGCUCAGAUUGCCUGUGAAUACGAUACGCUUUCUUUGAGUCAAGUUGUUUGGGAAUACAGCUCAAAGUAKGUGGUAAAUUCCAUCUAAAGCUAAAUAUUGGUGCGAGACCGAUAGCGAACAAGUACCGUGAGGGAAAGAUGAAAAGAACUUUGAAAAGAGAGUUAAAGAGUACCUGAAACUGUUGAAAGGGAACCGUAUCGUUUCCAGUGUUGUAUCCUGUGCAUAUUUCAUUAGCGGAGCAAUUUGCUGGUGCCCUGUGCAUGGGUGUGACGUCAGAGUCAGUUUGUAUGCUGCGGGAGAUGGUCAGUGAGGAGGUGCGUCACUUCGGUGAAAGUUAUAUCUCGCUGUCUAGUAGCCGUGGUUGAGACUGAGGUGCCUACAACAUGCCUUGGGGUUCAGGGUCGUCUCGUUUUGGUAACUGCUUGGAUAGCUUGCUAUGUUUGUGGUUAAUCGAGGCGAUUGAUGAUGUUGAAAACCUCUGCUGUUCGGGACUCUGGCGAAAUGGAGCGAUACGACCCGUCUUGAAACACGGACCAAGGAGUCUAACAUGUGUGCAAGUAUUAGGGCGUGGAAACCCAAAUGCGUAAUGAAAGUAAAUGCUGCUUAUGCAGCUGUGGUAGGAAAGGGCUGUAAUGGUCCUGGCACUAUCGACCGAUCAUGAGCCUACGGGCGAAAGAUUUGAGUAUGAGCAUAUAUGUUGGUACCCGAAAGAUGGUGAACUAUGCCUGAAUAGGGUGAAGCCAGGGGAAACUCUGGUGGAAGCUCGUAGCGAUU